rnacentral:rRNA from 1 species
GUCGACGAAGCACUUCUGAGUGGAGAUUCGUCAAAGUUCAGAUUUGCACUUAGUGGCGGACGGGUGAGUAAUGCAUGAGCAACCUGCCCUGCAGUGGGGGACAACAGUUGGAAACGACUGCUAAUACCGCAUGAUGUAUCUGGAAGGCAUCUUCUGGAUACCAAAGAUUUAUCGCUGUGGGAUGGGCUCAUGUCUGAUUAGUUAGUUGGUGGGGUAACGGCCUACCAAGACUGCGAUCAGUAGCCGGACUGAGAGGUUGAACGGCCACAUUGGGACUGAGAUACGGCCCAGACUCCUACGGGAGGCAGCAGUGGGGAAUAUUGGGCAAUGGGCGAAAGCCUGACCCAGCAACGCCGCGUGAAGGAAGAAGGUCUUCGGAUUGUAAACUUCUUUUAUGAGGGACGAAGGAAGUGACGGUACCUCAUGAAUAAGCCACGGCUAACUACGUGCCAGCAGCCGCGGUAAUACGUAGGUGGCAAGCGUUGUCCGGAUUUACUGGGUGUAAAGGGCGCGUAGGCGGGAUGGCAAGUCAGAUGUGAAAUCCAUGGGCUCAACCCAUGAACUGCAUUUGAAACUGUCGUUCUUGAGUAUCGGAGAGGCAAGCGGAAUUCCUAGUGUAGCGGUGAAAUGCGUAGAUAUUAGGAGGAACACCAGUGGCGA